rnacentral:rRNA from 1 species
AUUGAACGCUGGCGGCAUGCUUUACACAUGCAAGUCGAACGGCAGCGCGGUCUUCUUCCUGGCGGCUAGUGUCGAACGGGUGUGUAAUGCAUCGGAAUGUGCCCAGCAUUGGGGUAUAGUCCGGCCAAAGCCCUAUUACUACUGCAUACUACCUGCUGCUGAAACCUGGUGGCCGAAAGGCCUCUUGCUCUUGUAGCGGUCGAUGUCGGAUUUGCUAGUUGGUGGGGUAAAUGGUUACCAAGGCGACGAUCCGCAGCUGGUCUGAGAGGACGACAAGCCACACUGGGACUGGGACGGGGACAAGACGACUAAGGGAGGCAGCAGAGGGGAAUUUUAGGCAAAGGGGGCGACCAUGAUACAACCAUGCCGAGUGCGGGAAAAAGGCGUUCGGGUUGUAAACAGGUUUUGUGCGGGAAGAAAUCCUUUGGGCUAAUACCCAGGGGGGAUGACGGUACCGGAAGAAGAAGCACCGGCUAACUACGUG